GUAGGUGGCAAGCGUUGUCCGGAAUUUAUUGGGCGUAAAGCGCGCGCAGGCGGUUCUUUAAGUCUGAUGUGAAAGCCCACGGGCUCAACCGUGGAGGGUCAUUGGAAACUGGAGAACUUGAGUACAGAAGAGGAAAGCGGAAUUCCACGUGUAGCGGUGAAAUGCGUAGAGAUGUGGAGGAACACCAGUGGCGAAGGCGGCUUUCUGGUCUGUAACUGACGCUGAGGCGCGAAAGCGUGGGGAGCAAACAGGAUUAGAUACCCUGGUAGUCCACGCCGUAAACGAUGAGUGCUAAGUGUUAGGGGGUUUCCGCCCCUUAGUGCUGCAGCUAACGCAUUAAGCACUCCGCCUGGGGAGUACGGCCGCAAGGCUG
rnacentral:rRNA from 1 species